GCUGCCUGCCCUGGCAUGGACUGUUUCUCCUCUGUGAUGCCCCUCUGCUUUGCUACCCUCCUUUGGAGACAGUCAACUAUGGACUGAAACUUUUGCAAACUGGCAGGCAGCGGAACCACUGAGCUAAAUCCCCGGCCCAAGUUCAUCCUUCUUUAUGGAAUCUCCACCCUGAUUUUGAGAAGAAAACAGAUGAUACAAGGGAGUGUGAGGGGAACUGCUGGCAUUAGGGCUUUGAGCAGUUAACUUUGGGGAAGCAAUCAGACUGGCUUCAUCUCUGCUUCAAAACUUCCUUGCUCUGAUACUCAAGCGAUGACCCCUCAGAGCAGCAGGAAAAGUUCUGUGCAGAAUUCUGGAAGACAGUAUGAAGAGAAGGAGCACUGAACCCCCUGCUCGGGGAAGUGGUUGCAGAGACCUAGCAGGGUUUCAGGUGUCAACUCCACCCUCCCCACUGCACUGCAGGGAAGUGAAGCUUUUAUCCAAUUCACAGUCUUGGUUAACAAGAUGGAAAUUCACUGGCUGGAGGCAUUGGAAUCAGUUGUACCUACCGAAAGGAAGCAAAGACUCAGAGAAGCAGUGAAACGUCACCACUGUUAACUCUGCUUGGAUCUUAAAGAGGGAAGCCCGAUCCGAACUUAGCACCAGAGAGAGCUCUCACAGGUACAGAGGAAUGGAGGGAAUAAGUGACAGAUGUCACCAGCACAAACCUAGGAUAUACACUCAGGACAGCAAGGAACAGGACACAUCCCCCUAAAAAAAAGAACUGUGGUCUGUUGUUCCAAGAAAAGAAAUUCUGUGAGGAAAUGAGAACAGGCCUGCUUGCUUUGUGCAGGGCCUCUAUUGUCAGCCAACCAACCCAAAAACUUUCGUCCUGGACGGAGGUGUCUCCGUGUGUCAAGAGCACUGAAAACUGUCCUACUUUAGAAGACAGGAAAAUUUUUAAAUCGAGUCCAUUCCAUGGAACAAAUUUCCAUUCUUUCUGGACCCAGAAAUUCUGUGUCUGUUGGUAAUUUUCAUUUUUGGAUCACAGCCCCCAGGGGAGCAGGAAGUGGGCCAAAUAGAAGAGUGAAGUUUUCAGUAUGUUUCUUUAGAGCCUGGACUUGCUCCCUGGGUCUAUAAACAGAAGGGCUGCCCUGCUCCAGCCCUUCAGAUGCAAUUCCCAGAUGCCAGCAAUGGCCCAGGUACUGAGAGGGUGACAGGUGCCCUAGGGCCCCUUUAGAGACACAAUUCUGAAGCUGACAUUCCAGGAACAAAGAAAGUUGCCUUUAUUAGAAAAAUAACCAGUGACAGAAGACGUCACCUCAUGAGCAGCCCGAGUAAAAGCUUUUCAUAAAACUAAAACCAAUGACUCCAAAAUAACUUUGAGUAACCAACCUUCCUUCUACUGUUUUGUACUUUCUCAAAUUUGAAAGAACUGGGAGAACCAAAAGGAUAAAGAUUAAAUUCAUUAUUGACUCCUCCAGAAGCUUUUUCUGCAGACCUGAAAUAAGUGCCAUACAUUUUUCUAAAUAUUAUCUUGGCAGCAUUAUCUGCUUUUGCUGAAGUGAAUGACCAAGGAGCUGUGGAAAGUGACUUCAAAGCCGCCCUGAAAUGCACACGACCGCACGCACCAUAACAAUGGGACCUCGGCCACAGCUUCACCAAGAGCGACUCCUUUCCCCUGUGUUUGCCAGGCUCCUCCUCUUUCCGCACAGGCUGCCCUGGGUUCUGCCUCCCCGCGAGUCCCAGCCUAGCAGCACUUUGGAGAAGGUGGUGAGGGAGCCGUACCUUGUGUCCCCGUUUCCGCCCUCUUUUCCUUGGGAUCUUCACAGCUGGUAGGGAAGCAGCAGAAGCGGAGAAAAGGCCGGGACCUGGCAUCUUCCUAGGCGUGGAGUGGAGCGGCGGCCGCCCUCGCU